CAGAGACAAGCAUUGCAAAACCAGCUGUCGCAAUAGCCUAACCACUGGAGGGGAAGAGGCCGUCAGGUUAUUGAUGGCCUGAACUACACCCAGGUUAUCACAGUGGAAGACGACACGCCUGUCUUUGAGCUCCGUACCCCAAAGGUGAACAGCCACCAAGAUGGGGAAGAGUUCCAAGAACGCCAUGUUCUUGGUAAGGCCUGAAUCGACCCAAGAUACAGGCCAAGGUUCCGCGCACCAAUGAGACCCCAGAAUAGCCCCAAAACCCGAGG